rnacentral:rRNA from 1 species
UACGUAGGGCGCAAGCGUUAUCCGGAAUUAUUGGGCGUAAAGAGCUCGUAGGCGGUUUGUCGCGUCUGCCGUGAAAGUCCGGGGCUCAACCCCGGACUUGCAGUGGGUACGGGCAGACUAGAGUGUGGUAGGGGAGACUGGAAUUCCUGGUGUAGCGGUGAAAUGCGCAGAUAUCAGGAGGAACACCGAUGGCGAAGGCAGGUCUCUGGGCCACUACUGACGCUGAGAAGCGAAAGCGUGGGGAGCGAACAGG